rnacentral:lncRNA from 1 species
ACAUGGCAAUUGCCAAAACGAAGCCUCAAGACAAAUACAUACAAGUAUACAACAACACAAAUAUUAAAAGUGAGAAGUAAACCAAUUUUCAUUAUCAAACUUCGCAGCUAAUCUACAUACAAUAUCCAUAUUUAUACAUAAAUAUACAACAUAAAGAAAGUUAAAAGCCAACACUAAACCAACGCUACAACCAAACUAUCAGCACAGCUGCAGAUAGACCAUCGUCUCUGCCCAAACAAUCCUGCAAAAAAACCCAGAUAGCAAAUAGCAAUCCAACAAUAAAAAAUAUUUCAAAUUUUUACANAAAUAAAUAAACUGAAAAUUCAGAAAAUAAAUAAAUAAACUGAAAACUUAAUAAAUUAGAAAUCAUUUUUCAGAAAAUAAAUAAACUGAAUACUCGAAAAUAAAUAAAUAAAUAGACUGAAAAUUCAGAAAAUAAAUAAAUAAACUGGAAAUAAAUAAAAUAGAAAUAAAUUUUUCAAAAAUAAAUAAAAUGAAAAUUCAAAAAUAAAUAAAUAAAUAAACUUAAAAUUCAGAAAAUAAAUAAAUAAUCUGAAAAAUAAAUAAACUAGAAAUAAAAUUUUCAAAAAAUAAAUAAACUGAAAAAUCGAAAAUAAAUAAAUAUAUAAAACUCAUAAGAAUAAUUUAAUCUGAAUAAUAUCAUGUUGGGGUUCUUUUAUUAUUUUGUAGAAAUAUUGAAUAGAUGUGGGGGUCUUUUUAUAAUUUUAUAUGAAUAUAGGGUAGGCUUGUAAUUAUCAUAAAAGUUUAAUAUGGAGAGUUUGAACAGUUUUGAAAGUAUUUGAUAAUCUGUGGAUUUUUUAAAGUUCGUGGGGAAAAUGGAUUUUAAACAAAGUUCGUUUUUUUUUUUUUAAUUUACGCGCGUCUCCCACACACGACCAUCUUUUCUCUCUUUCAACCCAGGUCUUCGCUAAGACACCGCCUCGCAUUAGGGCGGGUCUCCAGUGCGGGCUGUGCGGCCACCCUCUCAGCGCCUCGGAUCGACGCUCCCUUCGACCCGACGACUGGAGAUGCUCUUAAGAUUGUCUCUAUCGUGUCGUGCCGUGAGAUAUACCAUUAUUCGCAAAAGAUAGUCCUAAAUCAAAAGACAAAAUUAUUUGUUAAUAGUCGAAUUUAUCUAGAUUCCCAUUGUAACGGUCUUGAAUAGAUGUUUACGUAAAUAUUUAAAAUCACUUUUUUUUAAGUUAAUAUUUAAAAUCACUUGUUGUGUAUAUAUAAAUAGGAUAUCACACCUUUAUAUACAUAAAAAUGAAUUGAUAAUUUUUCCAUCAUAAUAACCACAAAUUUUGCUAUAAAUUUAGAAUUACUGAUUACUCCCUUUAUCCCACUCCAAUAGACUCAUUUCUUUUGAACAUGAAGAUUAAAAAAAUGUGAUAUGGUCCAUACCAAUUAAGUACACAUUUUUUAUUCAAAAUGAAAAAUGAGCUUAUUGAAGUGAAAUAUCCUAAAAAAGAAAACAAAGCCUAUUAGAAGGAAGUACUAUAUUUUCUUAUCAACAAUCAUAAAGCAACAUGACAAUUGCCAGAACGAUGCCUCAAGACAAAUACAACAAUACAAAUAUUAAAAGUGAGAAGUAAACCAAUUUUCAUUAUCGAACUUCACAUCUAAUUUACAUAUAAUAUCCAUAUAUAUGUAAAUAUACAACAUAAAGAAAGUUAAAAGCCACCACUAAACCGACGCUACAACCAAACUAUCAACACAGCUGCAGAGAGACCAUCGUCUCUGCCCAAACAAUCCUGCAAAAACACCCAGAUAGGAAAUAGCAAUCCAGCAAUAAAAAAUUACUUCAAAUCGAAAAUACAAGAAAAAAUGUAGGAGGAGACAGGUAGUACGAUGCCAUGGAAAAUAAUAACAUCGAACUGUUUAAUACUACAUAUUUAUCUAUGCUUCGGAAACUAGAACACCCCUCACUUUAAUUGAGAGAGUUCACCAUAUGAAGCAACAAUAAAAAAAAAAGUAGUCAAAAAUCAAGCAUUCGAUACAAAAUUUGUAGAAGCCAAGCCACCAACAGCAAACUGAGAUGAACUCAAAAUAUGCAUCGUUUUCAGCAAAGAAAUAGAGGUGGGCUUAAACUACAAAUCAAUCUACGCUUUCCGUGACACGUUGAUUGGAAUGCCAAUCAACGCAACGCCUAUAGAAAGCAAUAACAAAUAAUUUAUUCAAAAUAUUGAGAUAAUUUACUGGAAAUUUACGAGGUGUUUCCGGGAUCUAGUGAUAUUGAAAUCUCACCGAUCAGGAUAGCCACACAUUUGUUAUUGCGUCCGUGCCAUUACAACUAGAGGAACAGAUUAUCCCCAAGAAUUGGUAAUGGACGCCAAAGUUUGAAUCAUAUGAAACAAUUUCAAACAGAAAAAUGAAGAACAUGGAAAGAUUUUGACAAAUAGAUUUGCUCAGUGGAAGGAGAAGUCGUUAAUUAGUAGGCUCACGGAUCGGAAUCCACUGCCCCAAAACACAGAAUUGUGUCUUAGUCUCAUCAUUGCAGAUCUCAAAUAAUGAACAGAAAAAAAAUGAAUUGAUUGAGGAAAGGCUUCAGUGUGUGUAACAAUCAGAUCAUUGAUUACGAAAUAAUCAUAACCUCACUGAAAUCCGCUAAGAUAAUUAUUUUUUUCAUCAUAAGCCAAAGUAAAAAACUAAAUUAUUAAAAUGAGGAUUUUUCAGGAAAAAUUUGAGAGUGUGCUCAGACAGCCAAGGGUUGUUUCGUCAAAUGCAAGAUCAGAAACUCUAGUCCACGAAAAUUUGCAUCAUCACCACACACGAUUUGAGAGGAGAAAACAAUUGAGAAAAACAAAAUUGAAGACCUAAUUUGGAAACUAAGAUGAAACUUGAAAGUAUGCUCAGACAGCCAAGGGUUGUUUCGUCAACUGCAAGAUCAGAAACUCUAGUCCACGAAAAAUUGCUUCAUCUCCGCAUACAAUUUUGACCGGAAAAACAAAUGUAAAAUAACAAAGCAAACAAAAUUCCAAGCAUUGAAAAUCAAAUUAGAAAACCUUCCGUCGGAUUUGGCAGAUGGCGGAGGAGAGAGGCGGAGCGCGGCGAUGAGGAGAGCAGCUGGAGAUAUCUGAAUUGAAGAGACAUGGAGCUGUAUUUAUGCUUAGAAUUUGAGCUGCUGAGCUCGCUAGGGUUUUGGAUGCGGAAA